rnacentral:rRNA from 1 species
GGCGGAGCUGUGGCACACUCUAGGCGUAGUAGUUUUACCGCCUCGCCUCUAGAGUGGCCCCGGCUGCCUGCCGUAAAACCCCUAAUUUUCUAGUGGUUGACC